UACAGAGGUCCCAAGCGUUGUUCGGAUUCACUGGGCGUAAAGGGUGCGUAGGCGGUUGGGCAUGUCUGAUGUGAAAUCUCACAGCUUAACUGUGAAACUGCAUUGGAUACUAUCCAUCUCGAGGAAUGGAGGGGAGACUGGAAUACUUGGUGUAGCAGUGAAAUGCGUAGAUAUCAAGUGGAACACCAGUGGCGAAGGCGAGUCUCUGGACAUUUCCUGACGCUGAGGCACGAAAGCCAGGGGAGCAAACAGG
rnacentral:rRNA from 1 species